GAAUUUAUAGUUAAAUAUGUUUAAUUUUUUAAUUUUUAAACAUUUUGAUGUUAAAAUUUGUUAUAAAAAAUUUAGAAAUCUAGUGAAAAAUAUUAUUUAAUAUAAAUUAUAGAUGUUAUAUUUUUAAUAUAGAGAAAAAAAUAAUUUUGAAAAUUUAUUAUUGUUUAUUUUAAUAGAUAUUAUUUGUUUUAAAUUUGUAUUUUUUAUAAAAUAAAAUUAAAUUUUGCAAAUAAUUUAUUUUUUAAAUUUG
rnacentral:tRNA from 1 species